AAUUGGGAAUUUCCUAUUAAACGGAGAAAUUAUUAAGUUCUAUUUAUGGAGAGAAACAAAUUCCUGGUCAGUUCUUGUCAUGUAUUUCUUUAGUCUUUAGUUUGAAGAGAGCUAGAAGAGCAAUAGAUCUAGAUCUACGCCCUACUUACUGAACCUCCUGCAGGACCAUAAGGCGUACCUAGCAGAGCUGUCCUAGCAGUGUACCUUGCGGGCAGAGUGGGGCUCAGGACAGUGGGGUAUCACGCUGUCAGCUAUCUGUAAGCUUCUUACAUCCUGAUACUACAUUGGAGCAUUGCCUUGCUCCUUUUUACUCGUAAUUACUUGCUGACCUUUUCGGCAUGGAGAGUGGUUCCCUUGUGGCAAAUGAGAAACAUGUUCAGCCUCUACAUUCUGAUGUUGAACAACUGAUGUCAAGUAUUGAUCAUGAGCUGGGUGCACUAAAUGAGAUCUGUGAUCAAUCCAUAGGUAAGAU
rnacentral:sRNA from 13 species